rnacentral:pre_miRNA from 1 species
GGGCAUGCUCUCCACAGGCUUUCUUGAACUGUGAACUCGCGGGGAUGGGGAUUCCCUGGAUUGUGGCGCUCCUGCCUUCUCUUCGGCCGUCUCCGCCUGUUGAUGGUUCAAGAAAGCCCAUGGAAACCAUGCCCGC